rnacentral:rRNA from 1 species
ACGUACGACCAUACCCAGUGGAAAGCACGGCAUCCCGUCCGCUCUGCCCUAGUUAAGCCACUGAGGGCCCGGUUAGUUGGGUCGGUGACGACCAGCGAAUCCCGGGUGUUGUACGUU